rnacentral:rRNA from 1 species
UACGUAGGGUGCGAGCGUUAAUCGGAAUUACUGGGCGUAAAGCGUGCGCAGGCGGCGCGUUAAGACAGGUGUGAAAGCCCCGAGCUUAACUUGGGAAUUGCGCUUGUGACUGGCGUGCUGGAGUGUGGCAGAGGGAGGUGGAAUUCCACGUGUAGCAGUGAAAUGCGUAGAUAUCAGGAGGAACACCGGUGGUGUAAACGGCUCUCUGGACCGUAACUGACGCUGAGGCACGAAAGCGUGGGUAGCAAACAGG